rnacentral:rRNA from 1 species
AAGUAUUAGAGGCAUUGCCUGCCCAGUGACUAGAGUUUAACGGCCGCGGUAUCCUGACCGUGCAAAGGUAGCAUAAUCACUUGUUCCUUAAUUAGGGACUAGUAUGAAUGGCUAGACGAGGGUUCAACUGUCUCUUAUUCCCAAUCAGUGAAAUUGACCUUUCAGUGAAGAGACUGAAAUAAAUUAAUAAGACGAGAAGACCCUAUGGAGCUUUAAUUUGUCAGUUUAAUUAUUACUAUUUAUUAACCUAAUGGUUUAUCUAUCAAUAAUCUAAACUUAAAAUUUCGGUUGGGGUGACCUCGGAGAAAAAAGAAUCCUCCGAAUGAUUAUAACAUAGACCUACAAGUCAAAGUAAACAACCUUAUCUUAUUGAUCCAAUUCCUUUU